UACAGAGGGUGCAAACGUUGUUCGGAAUUACUGGGCGUAAAGCGCGUGUAGGCGGCUAAGUAAGUCGGGCGUGAAAUCCCACGGCUCAACCGUGGAAGUGCACUCGAAACUGCAUAGCUAGAGUCCUGGAGAGGAAGGUGGAAUGCUUGGUGUAGAGGUGAAAUUCGUAGAUAUCAAGCGGAACACCGGUGGCGAAGGCGGCCUUCUGGACAGUGACUGACGCUGAGACGCGAAAAGCGUGGGG
rnacentral:rRNA from 1 species